rnacentral:lncRNA from 1 species
UGAUUUUGGCCUGUGUAUUUUCCACCUCCAGAUAAUACUGCAUUUCAGAGGUUCAUCCAAACAAGAGUAAUACAGUGUAGCAGUAAGUCAUCUAUUUUCUGUCUGUUAGAGUAAGACUACCUUCUAUUUUGAUGGUAAGCCUUUUGUGGGAGGGUUCUAAUUUUAGACUUACAGAAAAUUGCAGAAAUAGUAAAGACAGUUUCCAUAUAUCUCUUGCAUAUUUUCACCAAAUGUUAACAUCUUGUAUAACCACUGUGUAAUGAUCAAGACCAGAAAAUUAAAAUCAGUAUAAUAGUAUUAACUAAACUAAAGAACUUAUUCAAAUUUCACCUGUUUUUUUUUAACUACGAUUAUUUCAUUUCCGUUCCAGAAUCCCACUUAGGAUCCCACAUUGCAUAUACUUUUUUAUUUUCUUCAGUCUCCUACAGUCUAUAACAUUUUCCUCUUUUAUUCUUUGUGUUUUAUGAUCUUGACACUUUUGAAGAGCAUUGAUCAGUUGCGUUUUUCAAUUGUUUCUUAGUUUGAGUUUGCUGUUUCCUCGUGAAUGGACUGAAUUGUGUUUUCUUGGCAAGAGUACCAUAGAAAUGGCAGUGUUUUCUCAGUGCAUUUGCAUUCCAGAGAUCAUGAUAUUGAUCUAUCUUAUUACUGGUGAUGUUGUCUUGGAUCACUUGUGCAAGGUAGUUUCUCCAGGUUUCACCACUCUAAAGUUAGUAUCAUUCUCUUUGUAAUUAAUGAAUAUAUUGGGUACAUGCUUUGUGAGUCUGAAAUUCUAUUUCUCCUUAAAAUUUUACUAAUUUUAAUGUUGGCCAGUGAAUGCUGUCUUCAUUACUUAUUAAAGUGGUACUUUCUAAAUGGUGAUUUUUCUAUUUCCCUCUUGCAUUUUACAUUUAAAAAGAAGAUAGAAUCCUUCUCUAUUUAUUUGUAUUCAUAUACAUUCAUAAAUGUUCAUUUUAUUUGAUGGUUAUCAAAUAAAAUCGUUUACUUUAUUUGAUGGUUAUCAAAUAAAAUCGUUUACUUUAUUUGAUGGUUAUCAAAUAAAAUCGUUUACUUUAUUUGAUGGUUAUCAAAUAAAAUCUUUUACUUUAUUUGAUGGUUAUCAAAUAAAAUCGUUUACUUUAUUUGAUGGUUAUCAAAUAAAAUCGUUUACUUUAUUUGAUGGUUAUCAAAUAAAAUCGUUUAUUUUAUUUGAUGGUUAUCUUGAUGAAAAGAGUCAAACUCUGUAAAAUAUUUGAAGAGAUGUUAUCUGAGCCAAAUAUGAGUGACCAUGGCCUGUGACACAGCCCUCAGGAGUUCCUGAGAGCAUGUGCCCAAGGUGGUCGGGGUACAGCUGGGUUUCAUACAUUUUAGGAUGGCAGGAGACAUUAAUCAAAUACAUUUAAGAAACACAUUAGUUUGGUCCAGAAAGGCAAGACAAUUUGAAACUGGCGGGGGGCAGUGAGGGAGAAAGUGAGGAGGGAGGUUCCAGACUAUAGGUAAAUUUAAAUAUUUUCUGGUUGACAAUUGGUUGAGUUUGUCUAAAAACCUGAGAUCAGUAGAAGGGAAUGUCUGGGUUGCCAUAAUAAGUUGUGAAGACCAGAGUUUUACUACGCGGGUGAAGCUUUUUGCUGGCAGGCUUCAGGGAGAAUAGGUUGUAAAAUGAUUCCUAUCAGACAAAGUCUGUGUUGUUAAUGCCAAGAGGUAUAAUGAGGCAUAUCUGAUCCCGUCUUCCCUUCAGGGCUUGAACUAUUCUUUCAGGUUAAAUUUUAAGAGCCCUGGCAGAAAAGGAAGUCCAUUCAGAUGGUUGGGGGCCUUAGAAUUUUAUUUUUGGUCUACAGUCCAAUAUUAUAAAUAUUUUAUUGCUCAGCUUGUGCCAGCUUCAGCCAUUUGGAAAUCCUUUAGGCUACUUCGGGUUUUUGGUAAGAUUUCAUCUCUAUCUAUUUAUUAAAAAUAAUAAGUUUAUAAUGGUAUGUUAGCUUUCAAUUCAAUACCAUCUGGCUAAUUUUAGCCCAUCCUUUUUCUUUUUUGUAGCUUCUUUCUUCAACAGUUAUUAGGAUCUUAAGCUGAACUUACUGUUCCAUUGAAACCUGCCCAAUAGUCCCAUAGAUAGUUUUUUUGGAUAAACAUAAAAAUUGACCCUUCUGGUCUUAGUGCUUGAAAUCUACAUUGGUUUUAUCUGAGUGCCUUCCUCAGGAAAGGACCCCAAGUUCUCUCAAAAAGUAUCAAAGAACUGAAACUCACCAGAUCUUUGCAUUCAGACAAUGAGAUUUCAGGCCCCUCAUUCAUGAUGAUUGUUUCUGAUAGGAGAGGUGUCAGAGCCCUGGCACCAGGAAGCGGUUGACUCACAGGUUGGUAAAAGGAAUGUUCUGACAACAGUAUAGGUUUGAAAAAGGAGAGUUUAUUAGAAAGGAAUAAUGCUGCAAAAGGGUGCAGUGGGGUGCCUCAGCAAGAGGACUGAGCGCACCUUUGUGGAUUUUCCUUAAGAGCAUUUACAGACCUUUUGGUGGGAGCUUAGGAUUGUAAAAUUAGUUUCGGCAUGGCAUUUCAGAGAUGUAAGGCCCGAAAUUAGAUGUCAGCUUUAGAUACUAGGGAAGUCUGAUUACCUCUAAAUUCCCCAGAUAAGGAGUUUGGCCUCCGGAUGGCUUUUUUUUUUUUUUUUUUUUUUUUUUUUGAGACUGAGUCUUGAUGUUGUCUGGGCCCCCUGGCUGGAGUGCAUUGGCGUGAUCUCGGCUCACUGCAACCUCCGCCUCCCAGGUUCCAAUAAUUCUCCUGCCUCAGCCUCCUGAGUAGAUGAGAUUACAGGCAUCAGCCACCACGCCUGGCUAAUUUUUGUAUUUUUAGUAACGAUGGGUUUCACCAUGUUGGCCAGGCUGGUCUCGAACUCCUGACCUCAGGUGAUCCACCCUACUGACCUCAGGUGAUCCACCCUCCUUGGCUUCCCAAAGUGUUGAGAUUACAGGUGUGAGCUACCACACCCAGCCUGGAUGGCCUUUUUGAUGGUCACCUGGUGGUCUUUGCUCCCUUUUAAAUUGCUCAGAUAAGAAGUUUUUGUCUCUGGGACCUGUUCAAUCACCAGGUGGUUUUGCUCUCCUCAGUUUCCUUACCCCUCAAGUUUCUGUCUUCUCACACAUAGUUACAUUUCUUCCCUGCUAUAUGAACUCUUAAUUGUAUUCGGUCAGGGAGAGGGGUUUGAGACUGAGCUCUUAUGUCCUCAGCUGCAGCACCAGAUUAAAGCCUUCUUCUUUCUUGGCAAUACUCAUCAUCACAGUCAUUGGCUUUCUGUUCUGCAAGCAGCAGGACCUGGACCGAACAUCUGGUGUGUCGGUAACACUAUUAUACUGUCUGUCUAUUCCAUGAACAUGCUGUUUUAAUUACAGAGGCUUUAUAGUGUGUUUUAAUGGCUGGUAGGGCUUAGUCAUUCUUUGUAGUUUAUCUUUUUCAGUAAUAUAUUGGCAAUUCUUGCAUGUUUUUUCCCCUCCAUAUAAACUUCUGUGUCAACUUAGUUCUAACAAUAUAAAAUAGUUUGUUUUAUUUUAUUGAAAUUUCAUAGAAUGUAUAAAUUAACUUGAAACUGAAAUCUUCAUAUGUCACUUUACAUAUGAACCUACCUAAGAUCUUUUGAUUUCUUCAAAUAUAUUUUUAUGUCUUCAGGAUCUGGAAUAUUUUUAAAUUUCUCAAAGAGAGGCUUGACAUAUUUUGUUGUUAACUUUAUUCCUAAGUAUUUAGUGUUCUUUGUUGCUAUAAAUAGGAUUUUAUGUA